GUAGUUCUAGGCUGGAGGAGCAGUGCAGGAGACCAGAGAAAAGUGAACUUAUUCAAGUACAUAUAUUCUAGAAGGUCUUCAAAACUGUUGAAAAGGAGUGUAGGGGGAACUUACCCAGUCACUUAAUGAGCUAUUCUUUGAAAAAUGUCCUGGGUACCUUCAACCAGAAAAAUAUGCUAAAAAAGAAAAGUCCUUAGUGUCUUGCCAAACUAGGUCUUGAAGUAAUGGCAUGAAGAAAAUAUAGAAGUCGAUUACAGUGUCAGAGAAAUGGAGCUUCAUUAACUCUAAUAAAAAUAGAUAAAUAUGAUCCACGCGCUUCUGGAGAAGUCGCUCAGGUUGUUCGAGACAGAUGCUCUGUAGCCACAUCAACUGGAGAGCAUCACAGAAAAAGUAUCCGCGGAUGUUUUCAACCAGGCAAUAGGAAGGCAGCGAAGCAACGAUUCAAGACUCUUCACAAAAGAGGCGAAAAGAGAGACGUUUUCAGUUUUGACCCACCCAGACCCCACCCUUCGGUUGCAUCCAUCACACAGUCAUUACAAAGGGGCAGCGCUGUCACACUGCCUGCCCUGCUCCCGGGGCUCUCGGGCUGGCUUAAUGAAGUGCACCCAGCCGGGGCUAUUGUGCAGCGCGAAUGA
rnacentral:lncRNA from 1 species